rnacentral:rRNA from 1 species
UCAGACGAUGCGUCAUGCAUAUCAAUAAGCGGAGGAAAAGAAACUAACAAGGAUUCCCCUAGUAACGGCGAGUGAAGCGGGAAGAGCUCAAAUUUGAAAUCUUAAAGGGUUUCCCUUUACGAAUUGUAGUUUAAAGAAGUGUUUUCUGUUGAGGUUUUGGUAAAAGUUCUUUGGAAUAGGACAUCAUAGAGGGUGAGAAUCCCGUAUUUGACCUUUACUUUCAACUUUGUGAUACACUUUCAAAGAGUCGGAUUGUUUGGGAAUGCAGUCCAAAAUGGGUGGUAAAUUUCAUCUAAAGCUAAAUAUUGGCGAGAGACCGAUAGCGAACAAGUACCGUGAGGGAAAGAUGAAAAGAACUUUGAAAAGAGAGUUAAACAGUACGUGAAAUUGUCAAAAGGGAAGCGCUUGACACCAGUGUUGUUUUUCUGAAAAUCAAUUAAAGAACUGUUUAUGCUAAGCUGUUUAGACUUUAUCAGCUAACUGUUUAGUUUUGAGCUUUUCUUUAAUGCACUUUUCAGUUAACAAGUCAACAUCAAUUUCUUUUGCUGUAAAAAAGCUUGAGGAAGGUGGCUUGAGAUUCGUCUUAAGUGUUUAUAGCCUCUUGCCUAUGCAGUCGGAGAGAUUGAGGUCUGCAGCGUAGAUCCUUCGGGGCUAAAUGCAUUUGUGCUAAGUUAUAGCAUUUUAUAGACAACUUGUUGACUAUGAUUUGUCUUGUAGCUUACUCGCUUAUGUUAUUUUACCUACGCUUAGGAUGUUGAAGAUGUAGCACAUCAU